AGUGAACGCUGGCGGUAGGCCUAACACAUGCAAGUCGAACGGCAGCACAGUAAGAGCUUGCUCUUACGGGUGGCGAGUGGCGGACGGGUGAGGAAUACAUCGGAAUCUACUUUUUCGUGGGGGAUAACGUAGGGAAACUUACGCUAAUACCGCAUACGACCUACGGGUGAAAGCAGGGGAUCUUCGGACCUUGCGCGAUUGAAUGAGCCGAUGUCGGAUUAGCUAGUUGGCGGGGUAAAGGCCCACCAAGGCGACGAUCCGUAGCUGGUCUGAGAGGAUGAGCAGCCACACUGGAACUGAGACACGGUCCAGACUCCUACGGGAGGCAGCAGUGGGGAAUAUUGGACAAUGGGCGCAAGCCUGAUCCAGCCAUACCGCGUGGGUGAAGAAGGCCUUCGGGUUGUAAAGCCCUUUUGCUGGGGAAGAAAAGCAGCAGGUUAAUACCCCGCUGUUCUGACGGUACCCAAAGAAUAAGCACCGGCUAACUUCGUG
rnacentral:rRNA from 1 species